GAAAAUAUAAGUAUGCAAAACAAAAUUUUCUAUUUUAAUAGUUUGUAGUUAUAAACUAGUUUUCUUGAUAUAAAAAGUGCCAUGACAGUACAUAGUUGUCAGAGUAAAAUAAUUUAUAUGAUAAUAAUAUAAAUAAUGUAAAUUAAACAUACUAGCUCUCAUUCACAGUUCUAUUAAAUUGUUAGUGUGUUAGUUUAUUAUGUAGAUAAACUAAACGCCUAAAAUAAAUCAUUAAAAAGUUUUUUCGACUUGUAGAAUAAUAAGGGUUGAAUAAUAUACUAGUAUACAAUAUAAACAAUAAUUUUUUUUAGUGCGUCGUUACACCUAUGUCAUGAUACUUGGCGUUUGACUAAUCUAUGCCAUGUUUCAUGUGAGAUUCUUGUGUAUAAAAGUUAGUCUUACAAUGACGUUUGACUCAGUGGACGUGUGCUUAUGCAAAGCGUCUAUUGGCAUAGGGUUGAGCCAAUAAACAUGUAAUAAAACUGCACAGUUGUAGUAUUAACAUUAAAUUUUUCACGAAAUAAACAAUAAUUAAACAUUCCUUAAUAACAAAUUAACCAUUCUUCUCAGUAACACAAAAUCAUACAUUUACCUUCCUAACAUAAAUUAAUUAUUUAUCUUUUUUCACAAAAGUUAAUGUAAACUAGAUUAUAGAAUUAGCCCUAAGGAGAUUUAUAUUGUUAUAUCCUCGAUUUGACAAUGCGCCAAAAAUUAUGACGUUUUUCAGAUAGAAACUAAUAAUAGUAAAAUUAUUACGUAUAAAUAACAAUUGCUGUCAAAUAAAAAGCACUUUAAAUAUUAAAAAAAAUACAUACAUACUUAUUUUAAAAAUAGCAAAGGGGCCUCACUUUUUGUGUUAGGGUUUCUAAAUGAAAAACGUCGGUCUUCAAGUAUCGGAUAUUUUAGAAUGUAAAGGGCGAUUUUUUUUUUAAUUUAACAUUUCUGCAACUUCAGUUGUGCACAAAACAUAAACUAAAUUGACAGGAUUAAAAAUCUUGCACACCCUUUAAGGUGCAUGAGACAGGUCUGCCCGCAAAAUUCAAAUUUAAAUUGGUUUUUCACAAUUUGUACACUAAUACGACAAAGUAGGCUUUUGGCAUUCUAAUAGCGCCAACGGCAGUAUCAUCUCCACAGGUUUAUAUAAAAAUCAUUACUUGAAAGUGUUCAGUUUAAGAAAUUAGUCAAAAUGAUGAGUUUGCCGUGAGUUACUCUCAAAUUAGUCGGUAGUCUGACUAAUUUCUUAAACUGGACAAUUUCAAGUAAAGAUUUUUAUAUAAACCUGUGGAGAUGAUACUGUCAUUGGCGCUAUUAGAAUGCUAUAAGCCUAUUUUAUCGCAUUAGUAUACAAAUUGCGAAAAACCAAGUUAAAUUUGAAUUUCGCGGGCAGACCCGUACUUUAAAUCCUGUGCACUGCACUUUCUACUGAGUGAAGUUAGCGGGAGAUGUCAAGCAGUGUAAGUUACAGGUAUAGCGCAUAACUGAGGAGACUCCUGCGGGUAGUGGAGCGGUGCGGGAGGGAGACAGCUGUCACAAGUUGACCAAUCACGGAGCUCUCGCGUC